ensembl:lncRNA
GCUGAGACCAUCCUGGUUCCCUGACUUAAGGGUGGCCAACCAGUCUGGAGGCUGGUCAGGGCCUAUAACUUAGGCUUGGAUUACAAAGAAGAGCUUAGAGCCAAGGGACACAGAGAAGUUGCCCAUUAGCUCCACAGAAGAGAGAAAAAUUUAUGUAGAUUUGGCAUCCGAGAUGGCCAUUAUGGGUUGGAUGACCAAAUGUAUCAGUUCACCCUGGGGAAUACCAGUGUGCCUCAGGUUAAUUAUGACUAGGGCCUCUUUUCACUCUCAUAAGUACUCUGGUUCGGAUGAAACAGUAUUCAGUCACUCAAAUUAUGGACCAUAUUAGGUGGUGGAGUGGCAGACGAAAAGAGAUGAGAGAGAAGACGGGAUCAGGCCUGGAACAGCGUUGCAGGCCAGGCAUAAGAGUUUGGAUUUUUAUCCUGAAGACAAUGGGGAUUUUUAACAUGGAACGUACGAGAUCAACUUUUGCCGUUACAAAGAUCACUUUGAUAAAGUGUGGGCAGCAGAUGAGAGAUGGGCUGAGGAGCUGAAGGUGAUCAGCUGACUGAACACUCCAGGCAAGAGGCAGGUGGUCUGAAUUAAACAAGUGACUGUAGAGAUGAGAAAAGCAGCUGUGUUCAAGGGAUAUCCAGGAGGAAGAUUUGAAAGGAUUUGGGAGACUGAUUAAAUUUGGGGGAUGAGGGAGAGAAAGGUGUUAAGGGUGAAUUUUUCUGCAUUUCACCAGUAAACAGCUGGUGGUGGCAGAAACACUGAGUGUGGCUUUGAACGUGCUGGUUUUGAAGACUGUAUACUCUGUUUGAGGCCUGGCACCUUUUAAACCUUGAAUCAUCUCCCACGGUGCCUUUGUGUAGCAGCUUGUUUGUGUAUAUUUGGUACUACAUGAUGGAAAAGAAAAAUUUUAAAGGCCUGUGAGAUUGACCACCAGAUCUCUGAUGAUCUUGGGAGAGUGUUUUCCCAUGGUGUGUUGGGGCAGAUGUCAGACUCCAGUGGUACAUGGAAUGGGGGAUGAAGGAAAAGCAAACCAGGAGCUGAAUCUACAAUCCGGGCUGCCUCACUUUCCACUAGCCCAUCUUCUCCUUCUUCGUUUGGAAGGCAGUGAAGCACCAUGACUGUGGAAGAUGCAGACCCAACUGGCUCUCUGGCUCAGCUUCUGGGAGCUGACCCUGGGCUUUCGAGGACAAUGCCAGCAGCUGGGACAGAGGUGAAGUCACUGUCACCAAGCCAUCAUCUGUCAAGGCUCCCCAGCCCCAUCCUGAGCUUACACGGCCCCCUGACCCGCCAGUCCUUAUUGCUGAGGCCAAGGGGAAGGAGAGAGAGAGACCUGGGCUAAAGGCUGGUGGGAGACACAGUCAGAAGAGAGAGAAGUGGAGCAGCAAAACCUGCUGAGGAGACCUGGCAGGGAGGCUGUCAGCCUGUUCAUCUUCAUGCUCGGGGCUGAGGCUGUGGCGGAAGGCACCACCCGGACUGUCAUUUGGACAAAUGCAUCUGUCAAACCCUGCAGGCACCAGUUCUGGCUUUCAGGGGCUCUGAUCCCAUUCCCUGCUGGCCCUUGUCCUCUGCCCCCACAGUGAGAUUGGCCUGUGUAUGUGUGGUGUGUGAUGUUUCCACAUUAAAGGAGCAGAAAGACGGAAGCCCUGGUGUCCAUCUGUAGCAGGAGCUCAGCCCAGGACUGUGUCCUCUCUCUCUCUCUCCCUGUAGCUGCUCUGAAGUCCUCUCCCCCAGACUGCUGGCAAAGCUGCAGAGCUUCUGACUCAGUGACAUUUUAUAAGAUCACUGUGUUCUUUCUUCAGAGCCAUUUGAGAUGGAAGUGGGAACAGGAAGCCCACUAUCUCAGAGGACAGGACCAAGGAUGGUGCUCCCCAACUGACGGAGGGCUGCAGGGAGUCAGAGCCCUGGGGGAGUGGUGGUAGGAGCCAACACCCUUGUGUUCCAGCCUGGCAUCAGGUACUAUCACGUGUUAUCUUUUCUUUUAACCCCCUCAAUUAUACCACGACGUGGGUAAAAUUACCCCCAUUUACAGGGAGAGGAAGUUGAAGCUGAGAGAGAGAAAGGUGAUUUACCUAAGGUCAUUCAGUGACUAGGAGGCCUCAAUAAUCUUUAACACCAGUCUUUUCCAAUUCUCCAUGUUGACUCUUCCUGUAUGCCUUGCAGCCUCCAAGCUUUCCCAUGAACCAGAGUUCCCAGGACACAUCACUGGUUUAUAAGGCAGUAUCGAAUGGCAUGAACUUAGUGGGGCUUACACAUGUACGGUGGUCAUCAUGCCUGUCUAAAUCUAGGCUCUGUCAGAAAUUCUCCUGGAAAGAUGGAUGAACACCAGGCUGAAUUGGCCGCCUCCAUGCCUAUGGGCAUGGAUGAGUGUUACACACAUAAUCAGACAGACACACACCCCUACCAAAGAAUCUCGGAGCUGGAGAAGAAUUGGUUGAUCAUUUAAUCCAAAUCCCUGACUCAUCAAAGUUCUAGUCACUAGACAUUUUCUAGUCUGUGCUUGGAGAUUUAUAGAAUGUAAGAAUUUUUACAAAGGGAAGAAUUAUAAGAAAUAGUAACAAGUGGGGUGUGGCCCCAAUGGUGCACAGGCUUACCCUGUAAACACCCAGCCUAUAUGG